CUUGGUCAUUUAGAGGAAGUAAAAGUCGUAACAAGGUCUCCGUUGGUGAACCAGCGGAGGGAUCAUUACCGAGUUUACAACUCCCAAACCCCUGUGAACAUACCAAUUGUUGCCUCGGCGGAUCAGCCCGCUCCCGGUAAAACGGGACGGCCCGCCAGAGGACCCCUAAACUCUGUUUCUAUAUGUAACUUCUGAGUAAAACCAUAAAUAAAUCAAAACUUUCAACAACGGAUCUCUUGGUUCUGGCAUCGAUGAAGAACGCAGCAAAAUGCGAUAAGUAAUGUGAAUUGCAGAAUUCAGUGAAUCAUCGAAUCUUUGAACGCACAUUGCGCCCGCCAGUAUUCUGGUGGGCAUGCCUGUUCGAGCGUCAUUUCAACCCUCAAGCCCAGCUUGGUGUUGGGACUCGCGAGUCAAAUCGCGUUCCCCAAAUUGAUUGGCGGUCACGUCGAGCUUCCAUAGCGUAGUAGUAAAACCCUCGUUACUGGUAAUCGUCGCGGCCACGCCGUUAAACCCCAACUUCUGAAUGUUGACCUCGGAUCAGGUAGGAAUACCCGCUGAACUUAAGCAUAUCAAUAAGCGGAGGAAAAGAAACCAACAGGGAUUGCCCUAGUAACGGCGAGUGAAGCGGCAACAGCUCAAAUUUGAAAUCUGGCUCUCGGGCCCGAGUUGUAAUUUGUAGAGGAUACUUUUGAUGCGGUGCCUUCCGAGUUCCCUGGAACGGGACGCCAUAGAGGGUGAGAGCCCCGUCUGGUUGGAUGCCAAAUCUCUGUAAAGUUCCUUCGACGAGUCGAGUUGUUUGGGAAU
rnacentral:sRNA from 1 species